rnacentral:rRNA from 1 species
GCUGGCGGCAGGCUUCAAACAUGCAAGUAUAGGGGGUGUAGCAAUACAUCACCGGCGGACGGGUGCGUAACUUUUGGGAAUAUACCUUUCGGUACGGAACAACUGAGGGAAACUUCAGCUAAUACCGUAUACGUCCUAACGGAGAAAGAUUUAUCGCCGAAGGAUUAGCCCGCGCUCGAUUAGCUAGUUGGUGAGGUAAUGGCUCACCAAGGCUACGAUCGAUAGCUGUUCUGAGAGGAAGAUCAGCCACACUGGGACUGAGACACGGCCCAGACUCCUACGGGAGGCAGCAGUGGG